rnacentral:rRNA from 1 species
GACGAACGCUGGCGGCGUGCCUAAUACAUGCAAGUAGAACGCUGAAGGAGGAGCUUGCUCUUCUGGAUGAGUUGCGAACGGGUGAGUAACGCGUAGGUAACCUGCCUGGUAGCGGGGGAUAACUAUUGGAAACGAUAGCUAAUACCGCAUAAGAGUAGAUGUUGCAUGACAUUUACUUAAAAGGUGCAAUUGCAUCACUACCAGAUGGACCUGCGUUGUAUUAGCUAGUUGGUGGGGUAACGGCUUACCAAGGCGACGAUACAUAGCCGACCUGAGAGGGUGAUCGGCCACACUGGGACUGAGACGCGGCCCAGACUCCUACGGGAGGCAGCAGUAGGGAAUCUUCGGCAAUGGACGGAAGUCUGACCGAGCAACGCCGCGUGAGUGAAGAAGGUUUUCGGAUCGUAAAGCUCUGUUGUAAGAGAAGAACGAGUGUGAGAGUGGAAAGUUCACACUGUGACGGUAUCUUACCAGAAAGGGACGGCUAACUACGUG